rnacentral:rRNA from 1 species
UACGUAGGGACCAAGCGUUGUCCGGAAUCAUUGGGCGUAAAGAGCGUGUAGGCGGCUUGUUAAGUCUUGCGUGAAAUCUCGGGGCUCAACCCCGAGCGGUCGUGAGAAACUGGCAGGCUAGAGUGCGGGAGAGGAGAGUGGAAUUCCUGGUGUAGCGGUGAAAUGCGCAGAUAUCGGGAAGAACACCAGUGGCGAAAGCGCGCUACUGGGCCAUAACUGACACUGAGGGACGAAAGCUAGGGGAGCGAAAGGG